rnacentral:rRNA from 1 species
UAGGGAAUAUUGGGCAAUGGUGGCAACACUGACCCAGCCAUGCCGCGUGCCGGAAGAAGGCGCUCAGCGUUGUAAACGGCUUUUUAAAGGGAAGAAAAAGGGUUACGUGUAAUCCGACUGACGGUACCUUUAGAAUAAGCACCGGCCAACUCCGUGCCAGCAGCCGCGGUAAUACGGAGGGUGCAAGCGUUGUCCGGAUUUAUUGGGUUUAAAGGGUGCGUAGGUGGCUUGUUAAGUCUGGGGUGAAAGACGGGCCGCUCAACGGUCGCAGGGCCCUGGAUACUGGCAGGCUAGAGUACGAGUGAGGCCGGUGGAACGGGUGGUGUAGCGGUGAAAUGCAUAGAUACCAUCCAGAACACCGAUUGCGGAGGCAGCCGGCUAACUCGGUAACUGACACUGAGGCACGAAAGCGUGGGGAGCAAACAGGAUUAGAUACCCUGGUAGUCCACGCUGUAAACGAUGCGAACUCGCUGUUGGCCCAUUAGAGUCAGCGGCUGAGCGAAAGCGUUAAGUUCGCCACCUGGGGAGUACGCC